UGAAGUCUUCAGAAGUUGAAACUUUAGAUCAAGUUGAAAUAGAAAGUAACUAUAUAAACUUGUUAGUUGAAAAAGAUGAAGAAAUAACCGAAUUGGGAGAGGACCUUGCUAGGGAUUCAUUUCAACAUUUAAGUUCUUCUUUGAAAGAUUUAGGUAAAGGUUCUGUAACUAAAUCUAAAUACAUAGCAAGGUCAUUGCUAAAAGGAACAUCUAAAUUAAUGGCAGGUUCUAUUGUUCGAGGUAAGGAGUAUUUGUCUGUAAUUGAUAAUGGUACAGACAAUACUCCAACUAAGCUUACUGAUACAGAAAAGGUUAAAAAGGAAAGAAAUACUACAAUGUCUUUCAUGCGUAUAUAUGAGACUAUAGGUGAUGCCAUAGUUUCUUUGAUUGAAACAGAUGAUCCACCGAUAGUUGUCUCAACACCCAAGUUAUCCCUCAUAGUUGGACGUAUAUCGGGUGCUAUAAGUAAUUUUACACAGGAAGUUGGAACUUCUGGAGUUUUCAUGUUUCCAGACAUAGUUCAACAUAAU